CUGCCAGUCUAUGAACCAGGAAGCCGGCUCUCACCAGACACUGAAUCCACCGGCACCGUGAUCUUGGACUUCUGAGCCUCCAGAGCUAGAACCUGAUGGCAGUUAUGAGAGGAACAGUUGGAGUGCUUUGUCAGCACUUGAAUAAAUAGGGAGUGGUCGACUGGGGAAGACACGCUUAGUUAUAUUUUCCAAGAGUAGGAAGAACCACAGGAUAAAGGCUUACGGUGAACUUAUGAUUCUUCUACCAAGCCUAGAAUUAAUGUUUUUAAGAAAAAUUUCCCUGAAUUGUUCCCAAGGUCAUCUAGCCUCAAAGAACAGAUAAAAGCCCAUUUCUGCCUUUCCUGGGCCACUUGACAUUUCUACAAGAUUACUUCUCUCUGCCUGGAUUUCUAAUCCUGCAAUUCAAUUACUGU